rnacentral:rRNA from 1 species
UCGAGCGAGUCUGCCUUGAAGAUCGGAGUGCUUGCACUCUGUGAAACAAGAUACAGGCUAGCGGCGGACGGGUGAGUAACACGUGGGUAACCUGCCUAAGAGAUCGGGAUAACACCUGGAAACAGAUGCUAAUACCGGAUAACAACAGAUGAUGCCUAUCAACUGUUUAAAAGAUGGUUCUGCUAUCACUCCUGGAUGGACCUGCGGUGCAUUAGCUAGUUGGUAGGGUAACGGCCUACCAAGGCGAUGAUGCAUAGCCGAGUUGAGAGACUGAUCGGCCACAUUGGGACUGAGACACGGCCCAAACUCCUACGGGAGGCAGCAGUAGGGAAUCUUCCACAAUGGACGCAAGUCUGAUGGAGCAACGCCGCGUGAGUGAAGAAGGGUUUCGGCUCGUAAAGCUCUGUUGUUGGUGAAGAAGGACAGGGGUAGUAACUGACCUUUGUUUGACGGUAAUCAAUUAGAAAGUCACGGCUAACUACGUGCCAGCAGCCGCGGUAAUACGUAGGUGGCAAGCGUUGUCCGGAUUUAUUGGGCGUAAAGCGAGUGCAGGCGGCUCGAUAAGUCUGAUGUGAAAGCCUUCGGCUCAACCGGAGAAUUGCAUCAGAAACUGUCGAGCUUGAGUACAGAAGAGGAGAGUGGAACUCCAUGUGUAGCGGUGAAAUGCGUAGAUAUAUGGAAGAACACCGGUGGCGAAGGCGGCUCUCUGGUCUGUUACUGACGCUGAGGCUCGAAAGCAUGGGUAGCGAACAGGAUUAGAUACCCUGGUAGUCCAUGCCGUANACGAUGAGUGCUAAGUGUUGGGAGGUUUCCGCCUCUCAGUGCUGCAGCUAACGCAUUA